rnacentral:rRNA from 1 species
AGUGAACGCUGGCGGUAGGCCUAACACAUGCAAGUCGAACGGCAGCACAGAGGAGCUUGCUCCUUGGGUGGCGAGUGGCGGACGGGUGAGGAAUACAUCGGAAUCUACUCUGUCGUGGGAGAUAACGUAGGGAAACUUACGCUAAUACCGCAUACGACCUACGGGUGAAAGCAGGGGAUCUUCGGACCUUGCGCGAUUGAAUGAGCCGAUGUCGGAUUAGCUAGUUGGCGGGGUAAAGGCCCACCAAGGCGACGAUCCGUAGCUGGUCUGGGAGGAUGAUCAGCCAACCUGGAACUGAGACACGGUCCAGACUCCUACGGGAGGCAGCAGUGGGGAAUAUUGGACAAUGGGCGCAAGCCUGAUCCAGCCAUACCGCGUGGGUGAAGAAGGCCUUCGGGUUGUAAAGCCCUUUUGUUGGGAAAGAAAUCCAUCUGGUUAAUACCCGGGUGGGAUGACGGUACCCAAAGAAUAAGCACCGGCUAACUUCGUGCCAGCCGCCGCCGUAA